GACAGAGGGUGCAAACGUUGCUCGGAAUUAUUGGGCGUAAAGCGCGUGUAGGCGGCUUUGCAAGUCGGGUGUGAAAGCCCUCAGCUCAACUGAGGAAGUGCGCCCCGAAACUGCAGAGCUUGAGUGCCGGAGAGGGUGGCGGAAUUCCCCCAAGUAGAGGUGAAAUUCGUAGAUAUGGGGGAGGAACACCGGUGGGCGAAGGCGGCCACCUGGA
rnacentral:rRNA from 1 species